GGCAAAAUCGGAUUCGGAUCGGGUUCGGUUCGACCCGAUCGGAUUUCGGGUUGGUCGGGUUAGGCAGAAAUCCAUCCGAAUUCAAUCCGAACUUGUAAUCCGAUCCGAUCCGAUCCGAAUAUAUAUUCGGAUCGGGUCGGAUCGGGUCAAAAAAUCGGGUUGAGUUCGGUUCGGAUCGGAUUCGGAUUAAAAUCGGUUUGGACUAGAAAAUGAAAAAAUUUAUGCCCAUCAUUGGAAAAAAAAUACAUUACAGCUUUCUUCACUGAUUUUCUUUAUCAUUAGCUGGUGAACAUUAAAAUUUUACAAUUUAUAUAUGAUAAUAAUGACAACAUCAAGAAAAACCAUCAAAAUUUCAAAACACAAGGCUCGGGUUGCGGGUUGGAGAAGUCAGGUUGCUUGGUUGAAGUGGAGCUUGGAGGCGAGAAACUUGGUGAUGGACGGAACCACAGAUCCGGUGGCUGUGUCUGCAAAUGAUCAUCGGUUCUUGCACUGCGUCUUUGAGUGACCAUCGGUUUGCUUUUGUGACUGAAACCCGAUCUGUGAAACCCGAUUGUGUGAGAAAUCGAUUUGUGAAAAUUGAAGAGUGAAGACUUAAAAAGAAGAAAGCGAGGCUGUGAAGAUUUAAGGUUGAAAACUGGAGAAAAACCAAAGAAGAGAGUGAAGCGUGAGGCUGUGAAAUCUGAAAUGUGAGUAAAAGGCUAUCUAUUGCGAUUUUUUGUGGAUGGGGCCCAUGGGGGGUGAGUGGUGGGUGUUGGGUGUGUCAGUGUGUGUGUGUGUGUGGAUGGGGGGUGGGUGUGUGUCAGUGUUGUGUUUUUCACCCCUUUGUGUGUGGGUGUUUUGAUUUUUUUUUUUUUUUAAUAGCCAAAUCCGAUCGGAUUUUCGGAUCGGAUCAGGUUUCACCCGAUCCAACGAUGAUCCGAUCGGGUUGACGAAAUUAAAUCCGAUCGGGUUAUAUUAAAAAUCUGAUCCGAUCCGAACCCGAUUAUUUUCG
rnacentral:lncRNA from 1 species